rnacentral:lncRNA from 1 species
ACAGGCACUCAUAACAAAUUCUUGUUGGACAAAAUGCCAAAAACUUUACUUCUUCUGGGCAAUAUUUUGAAUUGUUUUUCCCUCCUAUUUUGUUCUGCGAUUUUGGGCCAAAUACAUUGAGUCCAACACAAUAUGGCCCAGCAAAGCCCAGUCCUUGAAAGAAGAAAAGCUUCGGCCAAACAAAAAAAACAAAGAAGCAGAAGAACUGUCCCUUUCACGGCAGAUUUGCAAGCUAGAAUACAAAAACUUCAAUUAGGUUGAAAUCAAUUUCAAAUUUCAAAUUCUCCCUCUCUUCAAUAUCAUAACUCACUUUCUUUCUCAUGAAUUUCAAUUCUUCUCUCAUCAGCUCUCUCUCAUCCUCUCUGAUAUCUUCACCACCACCAACACCUUCGCUGCCGUCAUUUUCUUUCUCAUUGAUUUCAUUAAGUUCUCUUCUCAUGAAGCAGAGAACACGACUGCAACGAAGGUAUGCACUUCAGAUCCAUUUUUCGUUUUUUGAUUUACAGAUUCAUAUUUAUUUUUGAAUUCCAGAUCUAUUCUAUUUUUGUUCUUCAAUUUACGUUGAUGAUGCUUCUCCAUUCCUCACAUCGUGUUUUUUUUUUCUUCUUCUUCAUGUACAAUCAGAGAUUGCUGCUUGAGAAAAAAGGUAUGUCAUUUAACCGUAUUAUAUGAAUUUGGGGGAGCUGUUCUCUCCNNNNNNNNNNNNNNNNNNNGUAAUUUUCUAUUUUUGUUCCUGCCUUGGAUUUCAUGAUUUUUUAUUACGUUUUUUUUUUUGCUUUGAAUUUCAUGACUAAUUAAAUGUGCCCUUUCAUUAAGGUAUGUAAAUACAUGGGGUUUCUGCAAUUUUCACGGCCGGAGAAGUAUCCAAAUGAAGCAGGUAUGUUUUUUAAUUUUCUAAAUUAUUGUUUAAAUAUUUUGCUAUAAUAAUUGUUUUUCUAAUUCCUUUGAUUCAAUGUUUACUUUAAUUGGUGUUCCUAAUUCCAUUUAUUUAUUUUUAUGUUUGUGUGAUUUUUUGGAUGAUCAGAUUUAUGAUUGAAUAAAAAUGGACCAAAGUGUUUCAGAAUUCAAUUACCAUAUUGUUGUUCAUGAAUUUGAGGAAAAAGGUAUGUUUUCUUCUUUGAAAUGCCUAUUUUUCUUCAAUACUGUUUCUUAUAUCCGAUUUUAUGAUCCUUUUUCUAUUUCUUUGAAAAUAUUGUUGCUUAGUUGUCAUAUUUAUUGGGAUUUGUUUCUAUCAUUUAGUUAAUAAUCCCUACUUUUUAGGAGUUAGUGGCGUUUAGAUGGUUUUCUCCAAUGAUUGAUUUGUUUUUGUUAAAUUUCAGAUUUUUUUUAGAUUUGUAUCAAUUUUAAUUAGUUUUAUUUGUUAUUUGUAAACUUUAAUCCAGGAGAAAACCAAACUGAUAUAACCCAGUCCGUUUAUUGCAUUUGCUUGAGGCCAAACAAAAAAAAUCUCCUUGCUUCAGAAGCAGCUUGACCCUUCCCUUUCAUUUGUCUCUCUCAAGCCAAAUAUUGCAGGACUGAUGCUGCUGNNNNNNNNNNNNNNNNNNNNNNNNNNNNNNNNNNNNNNNNNNNNNNNNNNNNNNNNNNNNNNNNNNNNNNNNNNNNNNNNNNNNNNNNNCUUUCUUACUCAUCUCUCUCCAUUUUUUGUUGAUUCUUCGAACUUCUUCUCUCUCCAUGAAUCAACCUUCUUGGAUGGCACAAGCCAAAAUCUCCAAAGGUUUCAAAUUGCUUCUCCAUAUGUUAUUUUAUGAUUUAAUUUAAUCACAUGUUUAAUUUUUUGUCUAUGUUUGCAAAUUAGGUUUUCUUCUCCAUCGAAUCCUCCAACCUGUUUCAAGAUCCAUCCCGCAGGUAAUUUCAGUUUGGUUCUUUAGAGAUCCAAAAUAUUUUCACUUUCUUGCUUUUAUCCACCUGUCUGUAUGAAAUCAACUGUAAUAAUCUAUUUGCUCUUUGCAGGCCAAAAGAUUUGUAGACUAUUUGGCUACUUUGGUCCUCUAAAUGAAGUUUUCAUGCUUGUGAUUAUUAUAUUAGGUAAGCUUAUUUACUAUCUUAAAACACAACUUAUAUAUAGCUUCUAUGUGUUGUUUUAAUUUAAAGUUUUAAUUUUCCAGUUUGAUGUGUUACAUGUGAAGUUGUAUAGUGUUAUAUAGAAAUUGAUUGAUAUUUCUAAUUUCAA